rnacentral:rRNA from 1 species
CCAAUAGCGUAUAUUAAAGUUGUUGCAGUUAAAAAGCUCGUAGUUGAAUUUCGGGGUUAGUAGGUUGGUCAUGCCUCUGGUAUGUACUGGUCUCACUGAUUCCUCCUUCCUGAUGAACCGUAAUGCCAUUAAUUUGGUGUUAUGGGGAAUUUGGACUGUUACUUUGAAAAAAUUAGAGUGUUUAAAGCAGGCUAACGCUUGAAUACAUUAGCAUGGAAUAAUGAAAUAGGACGUUCGAUCCUAUUUUGUUGGUUUCUAGGAUUGACGUAAUGAUUAAUAGGGAUAGUUGGGGGCAUUAGUAUUCAAUUGUCAGAGGUGAAAUUCUUGGAUUUAUUGAAGACUAACUACUGCGAAAGCAUUUGCCAAGGAUGUUUUCAUUAAUCAAGAACGAAAGUUAGGAGAUCGAAGACGAUCAGAUACCGUCGUAGUCUUAACCAUAAACUAUGCUGACUAGGGAUCGGAUGAUGUUAAUUUUUUAAUGACUCAUUCGGCGCAUUACG